rnacentral:tRNA from 1 species
GCUCCUGUGGUGGAAUUGGCAGACACACCGCACUCAAAAUGCGGCGCCGAAAGGUAUGAGGGUUCGAGUCCCUCCAGGAGCA